rnacentral:rRNA from 1 species
GCAGAAGAAGCACCGGCUAACUCCGUGCCAGCAGCCGCGGUAAUACGGAGGGUGCGAGCGUUAAUCGGAAUUACUGGGCGUAAAAGCGCAUGCAGGUGGUUUGUUAAGUCAGAUGUGAAAGCCCGGGGCUCAACCUCGGAAUUGCAUUUGAAAACUGGCAAACUAGAGUACUGUAGAGGGGGUAGGAAUUUCAGGUGUAGCGGUGAAAUAGCGUAGAGAUCUGAAGGAAUACCGGUGGCGAAGGCGGCCCCCUGGACAGAUACUGACACUCAGAUGCGAAAGACGUGGGGAGGCAAACAAGGAUUAGAUACCCUCGGUAG